ACUAAACAACUAUAAUUCACUAGACACGAAUUGUGUUCUUGCUUGGACUUUAACUCUCCGACCAAUUCACUAAGCUAACAACAUGUUAACGAGAGUGCAUCGGUACUAAGUGAUCUUGUCAUUUUUGUUUUGCUUUCCAUCCAUGAUCUUUCAAUACUACAAUUGCAUCAGAAAAAUCUAUUUAGUAUAUUUAUUUUGAAUUUGAAUUUGUUGGUAUCAUUAAGUUUCUUGUCAAAUAAGUAAAUGUAUAGUAAAAACAGGUAAUUUUGUUACUUAUCAACUCUAUCCAAAUAAUAGAACUUAAUAAAUAAUUUACCACUGAAUUUCAUCUCACUCUUAAAUAUUCAUGUGAAAACAACUCCUUUUCUCAUCAUGCUGUCCCAUAAAUUAUCA
rnacentral:lncRNA from 1 species